CGGAUGUAGAAAUACGCUGCACGGUUCUUUGUUCCGGUUGCGAAAUCGACGCAUGACACGUGUGUGUUAGCCGUCUGGGCUUCCAGCGGGCGUUCAGGUCAAGAAACUGGUCAACGUGGCUACAUCUGAUUGAUUGAAAUGAAACCCAUCCUGCUGCAGGGGUGCACGACUCAGACCAAGUACAACGGAGAAGGAGACCUGUUUUCCGUCGCUAAAGAUCCAAACACACGGGUUCAAUUUCAGCGGCAACAUCAUCAUGUUUGUCCACAGAGAAGCAGAUGGGCUGUCAGUGUUUCAUGAACUUCUUUGACCUGAGGGAUCCACAACAGAUCGGUAGUUGA